rnacentral:rRNA from 1 species
UACAGAGGGUGCAAGCGUUGCUCGGAAUCAUUGGGCGUAAAGGGCAGGUAGGUGGUCUUGUUUGUCUGUUGGUGAAAGCCCGAGGCUCAACCUCGGAAUUGCGCCUGAAACUACAUGGCUAGAGUACUGGAGAGGGUAGCGGAAUUCAUGGUGUAGCAGUGAAAUGCGUAGAUAUCAUGAGGAACACCAGAGGCGAAGGCGGCUACCUGGACAGUUACUGACGCUCAGGCACGAAAGCGUGGGGAGCAAAAGGG